rnacentral:lncRNA from 1 species
CAAUGAAUCCUUCAAUCGAUUAUUGCUUACAAAAAUUAACUCUAAAAUUUCCAAAUAAAAUUGACAAGAAAAUCGACAGAAGCAAAAUCGAGAGCGUAGUGAAUAACCGCGUACCUUACUGUGCGAUCGCAUUAGAUUUGAAAGAUUCCAAAAAAUGUUGAUCUGUUCUUACUGAUAAAUUUUCAAUGCAAACAAAUUUGAGAAAACUGUGUUUCUGUCUUCAACUACUCCUUUCCCGUGAAAUGAAAAAAGUUAAGAAAAAUAAAGAGGGAACAGAAAAUAAAAACGAAACUGUGUAAUAAGAAUUGGAUUUGCUCUUGAUUAGUGGUUGUUUUGUUGUUAAUCCUCUCCGGUUAGAGAUGUAUUGAACGGUUGUGUUUGUGGGCCUGUUGGUAAUGUGGGCUGAGCCCAUU